rnacentral:rRNA from 1 species
AAUGAACGUUGGCGGCGUGGAUUAGGCAUGCAAGUCGCGCGACAAGGAACCUUCGGGUUCUGGAGGAGCGGCAAACGGGGUAGUAAGGCAUCGGAACGUACCCUCUUGUUGGGAAUAGCCGCGGGAAACUGCGAGUAAUGCCCAAUAAUCCCUACGGGGCAAAGGUCCGCCGCAGGAGGAGCGGCCGAUGUGAUACCAGCUAGUUGGUGAGGUAAUGGCUCACCAAGGCUUAGACGUCUAGGGGUNUGAGAGCAUGGCCCCCACACUGGGACUGAGAUACUGCCCAGACACCUACGGGUGGCUGCAGUCGAGAAUCUUCGGCAAUGGGCGCAAGCCUGACCGAGCAACGCCGCGUGC